rnacentral:lncRNA from 1 species
UGUCAUUGUCAAUCAUUGGCCCACUACAUUUGGGCUUUGUUUAGAUGUAGUGGCAGUGGCAUUUUAAUUGGGAAACAGAAUUUGAGCUGUCUCUUAAUUUGCCUUAAUUGUAGAAGUGCUGUGCAAGUUCAACUGGCAAUGCAGCAGAACAAGUCCCAUCAUAGUUUUGCUUGGCUGUUUUGUUAUUGAAGUUAGAGAAAUGGUAAAAUUGGGAGUGGUA